GAGUUUUGAUCCUGGCUCAGGAUGAACGCUAGCGGCAGGCUUAACACAUGCAAGUCGAGGGGCAGCACAGGUAGCAAUACUGGGUGGCGACCGGCGCACGGGUGCGUAACGCGUAUAGAACCUACCUUUUACAGAGGGAUAGCCCAGAGAAAUUUGGAUUAAUACCUCAUAGAAUUAUAGAGUGGCAUCAUUUAAUAAUUAAACAUUUAUGGGUAAGAGAUGGCUAUGCGUCCUAUUAGUUAGUUGGAGAGGUAACGGCUCACCAAGACAGCGAUAGGUAGGGGUCCUGAGAGGGAGAUCCCCCACACUGGUACUGAGACACGGACCAGACUCCUACGGGAGGCAGCAGUGAGGAAUAUUGGUCAAUGGGCGCAAGCCUGAACCAGCCAUGCCGCGUGCAGGAAGAAGGUCCUAUGGAUUGUAAACUGCUUUUAAACAGGAAGAAACACCCCGACGAGUCGGGGCUUGACGGUACUGUAAGAAUAAGCACCGGCUAACUCCGUGCCAGCAGCCGCGGUAAUACGGAGGGUGCAAGCGUUAUCCGGAAUCAUUGGGUUUAAAGGGUCCGUAGGCGGAUGAUUAAGUCAGAGGUGAAAUCCCACAGCUUAACUGUGGCAUUGCCUUUGAUACUGGUUAUCUUGAGUUAUAGGGAAGUAGAUAGAAUAUGUAGUGUAGCGGUGAAAUGCUUA
rnacentral:rRNA from 1 species